AAAGUUUUAAGUUAAACAUCUAAAACUAUCAUCCUUCAAAGUUGAAAAUAAAUAAAAUUUAAACUUUA
rnacentral:tRNA from 1 species